GAUGAAGAACGCAGCGAAAGUGCGAAACGUAAUGUGAAUUGCAGAAUUCAGUGAAUCAUCGAAUCUUUGAACGCACAUUGCGCCCGCCAGUAUUCUGGCGGGCAUGCCUGUCCGAGCGUCAUUUCAACCCUCAAGCCCCCGGGCUUGGUGUUGGAGAUCGGCGAGCCCCCCGGGGCGCGCCGUCUCCCAAAUAUAGUGGCGGUCCCGCUGUAGCUUCCUCUGCGUAGUAGCACACCUCGCACUGGGAAACAGCGUGGCCACGCCGUAAAACCCCCCACUUCUGAAAGGUUGACCUCGGAUCAGGUAGGAAUACCCGCUGAACUUAAGCAUAUCAAUAAGCGGAGGA
rnacentral:misc_RNA from 1 species